rnacentral:rRNA from 1 species
GCGAUUGUAAAUUUAGUGGCGGACGGGUGAGUAACGCGUGGGUAACCUGCCUUGUACUGGGGGACAACAGUUGGAAACGACUGCUAAUACCGCAUAAGCGCACAGCUUCGCAUGAAGCAGUGUGAAAAACUCCGGUGGUACAAGAUGGACCCGCGUCUGAUUAGCUGGUUGGUGAGGUAACGGCCCACCAAGGCGACGAUCAGUAGCCGGCCUGAGAGGGUGAACGGCCACAUUGGGACUGAGACACGGCCCAAACUCCUACGGGAGGCAGCAGUGGGGAAUAUUGCACAAUGGGGGAAACCCUGAUGCAGCAACGCCGCGUGAGUGAAGAAGUAUUUCGGUAUGUAAAGCUCUAUCAGCAGGAAAGAAAAUGACGGUACCUGACUAAGAAGCCCCGGCUAACUACGUGCCAGCGGCCGCGGUAAUACGUAGGGGGCAAGCGUUAUCCGGAUUUACUGGGUGUAAAGGGAGCGUAGACGGUUUUGCAAGUCUGAAGUGAAAGCCC